UAUCAUCGUACUGUGAAGAGAUUUGUGGCAGUUAAAGGCAAAAUGAGGAAGGUUUCUGUUAGACAAAUUCAUCGGAUUAAGAGAGCAGCUGUUAAAAUGCCUUUGCAAAGCAAAAUGCCCUUUUCUCCAAAAUCUGAGAAAAUAUCAUUUGCAUAAUAAUUUGGAACAUGGUGCAUACAACAAGAAUAAGGUGAACAGGUUUGAAUUAGUUUAGGAUUUUAAUUCUUAUUCCCAAGAAGAGAGAAGGAGGAGGACCAGCAGGAGGCGCUGCAGUCCCCAACCUGCAGACUCACCCUGACGUCAAGGAUUUUCUCAAAGCGUCAGAAUUACAACUUGUGACGAUGUUGGUCCUGGACGUGGUGAGAAAAGAGACAGAAGGUUUCCUCCGUCUGCAGGAGAAAUACCCAGAAUGCAUCAGGAACACCUGGUUUUAUUUAAACAUGUUCUCACAAAUUAUUGAGACUCAGACCUGCUUCCUUGAAAUUGUGAAACAUUUCCUGUCGUCACCAUCUUUGAUUUGACCUUUAAGGGAUUUUAUUCUUUUUUCCGACUCUUUUUUUUUUGUUGUCUUUCUUCAUCUGGUUGGUUGCGUCCUUUUAAAUCUAAAAUACACUAAAAGAUUGUAAAACGUUUUCUACUCUGUCAACUAGGUGUUAAUCAGGGUCACUGUAGAUCUUCUUCCACAUGUGUGACAUUUUUUUUUACCAGAAAAAAACAAAACAAUCAGUGUGGUAUGUGAGAUACGGUUAGCUUAGAUCCAGUCCAAAGUAUAACAGAGAUUAUAGUCUGAGAUUUCUGUCACUGAAUGCUUUGAAGCCAAAAAGAAAACUGAAAAAAAAAACAUGUAAAUAUUCAUAGUUUACUUCUGUUAAUAUGAAAUGUUGUAAUUAUUUUUAAUAUUUUAUAUUGGUGGUUGCUGUUAACUUAAGCUAGUUUGUAUUGUCACAUUAAGUGUUUAAUCAUGAUUACACAUGAAACCUAUCAUAAAUAUAAACUAUAUUUUGCUUUUGAUCAAAUAUUUUACAGAAGUUAAACAUUAGAAAGGCGGGAAGACGGUUUUAUUCUCUUUUUCUUUAUUUUUGUGUCAUCAUGUUCAUUAUUAGUUUGUAAUUAUUAUGUGCAGCAUUUCACUUUAAAAACAAUCAGCUGAUUUUCCAUGUUCUCGGAUAAAUGCAGAGAAACAGGAAAUGUUUAUCGUUUAGGUUUCCACUGUAACACUUUCACAAUUUGUUCUGUUUUUCACACAAUUUUACAAACAUUUAAAUGACUUAAAGAUGAACGUCGGGUCAAGUGAGGUGAAGCUUUUAGUGAAACAUUUUUCUAGCAACUUGUUGAGUUUGUGACUGGCAGCAUCAAAAUAUACCAACCUCUUCAUAUAAUCACACUUUACAAAACGGCUAAGAUUUUAAAUCUGAUCAUUUUUACCCUUUUAAAUCUUUAAAUUUAACAUCUGUGACCGAGCCUGUAAUGAGCAGAGCGAAGGAAAUAAAUAGUUUGUCUUUUUUUUUUAAUGUUGUAAGCUUUUGAAAACAUGUUUUUUCUGUUCAGGUUCAUCUAAAUAAAACAGUUUGAUUUUAAAAAAUAUCAGUAUUGACUAUUUUAAUAAUCCAAAUAAAGAAAGAGGUGGAAGUGAGAUUUAUUACACAGAAUUUAAACCCGGAUUGAUUGUUUCCAUUAGCCAGAAUUGGCAAUAGGAACUACUUGAGGAACUUUUAGGAGUAUUUUUACUACAAUGUGUUUUUUACUUUAUUAUAAAGUAUCAGAUAUCCAGGGUGAGUAACUUCACUGAAUGAUGAAAGUGAAAAAAAUAAUUUGGAAAAUGUCUUCCUUUGCCUGAUUUUAUUUUGUAAUCAUGUUAAUAUGAAUUAUUUUCAUUUUGGUCUAUAAAAUACUAAAAAUUUAACAUAGCUUAAUAUUCUGGUCCAGCUAAUGAUGUAAUUAUUAACUAUUAAAGCAUUAUUUUGA